rnacentral:rRNA from 1 species
GAUGAACGCUGGCGGCGUGCCUAAUACAUGCAAGUCGAGCGAACAGACGAGGAGCUUGCUCCUCUGACGUUAGCGGCGGACGGGUGAGUAACACGUGGAUAACCUACCUAUAAGACUGGGAUAACUUCGGGAAACCGGAGCUAAUACCGGAUAAUAUAUUGAACCGCAUGGUUCAAUAGUGAAAGACGGUUUUGCUGUCACUUAUAGAUGGAUCCGCGCCGCAUUAGCUAGUUGGUAAGGUAACGGCUUACCAAGGCAACGAUGCGUAGCCGACCUGAGAGGGUGAUCGGCCACACUGGAACUGAGACACGGUCCAGACUCCUACGGGAGGCAGCAGUAGGGAAUCUUCCGCAAUGGGCGAAAGCUUGACGGAGCAACGCCGCGUGAGUGAUGAAGGUCUUCGGAUCGUAAAACUCUGUUAUUAGGGAAGAACAAAUGUGUAAGUAACUAUGCACGUCUUGACGGUACCUAAUCAGAAAGCCACGGCUAACUACGUU